UCGUAUCAAUACCGAUACUGAGUAUGGUAUCGGCUCUGCACACAGUCACAAGCUUGAAAAGUUUACUUGUUUAUUCCCUCUUGUUCAGCACAUGCACGUGCAGUGUUACUGUGGCAAGUCCUCUAAAGGACUCGGUCUGCAGGCAGUUUUAUUUUGGAAGGAAAAAAGGGGGCUUUGGUGUCAUGUUCCUGCAGGGGCUCGCUCUGGGAGCAGAGGAGAGGUCUAGGAUUUCUUCCCGUGUCACUUUGUCCUUGUGUGAGUUUUUAUCCUUUUUUUUUUUUUCCCCUCUCACUCUGUCUCUUCUUCUUCUUUCCUUAUCUUGUGUUUGUCCCAGUCUCACCCACCCAACAGGAAUGACAGUCACUGCUCGCUGUUGUGUGGACUGCAUGGUGAAUGAGUUUCUCUCUUGAAGUUUCCAUUUUUUGGCGUUUAUGAAGAGACCACUAGGGGGAGAGGUAGAGCUGACACAGCUGUAAAGUGGAGGGUGGAAAUGGGAGCAUGGGACAGAGCGGAUGGAGUAUAGACAAUUCAAUAGAGACUGAGAAAAACGACACGCAUACAGAUUAUUUGUACUUUUUAUCAUCAAUACUUAUUUUAUAAUUACUUGGAUUUUUAUUUGAUGUCCUACAUUUUACUCACUGUCCUCUGUUUUUAUGUUUGCACCCAAUACAAUGACAAUUAAAUUCAAUUUUGAUACAGAAAAAGACGUUUUUUGCACAACUGUAUGUCGGAGGUUAAGAACAGUGUAGUGACGAAAAACAUGAGCGUGUUUGUUUUUGUGUUGCAGAGACAGAGAGUAACCUGUGUUCCCCUCACACUCAUCUGCGGCUUCUCGCUCAGCACUGUGUUUUCAUUCAUGGGCCAUGGAGAGAGCAGUGACCUGAGGGAGAGCCGUCAGCAGACACCAGUUGAUGUUGUGGGUCGACAACAAAAGGUGCCGUUUGAUAGCGUUUCUAUCAUGAGCAAAUAAUCAGCUGCACGUCACAUUACUAUACACUUGUGCGCCGUUAGAUGAGGCGAGCAGCGUUCAUUCCCACCGGAGUUCUGCAUGGGAAUCAAUUACCGCUCUCCCGAGGCAGUGGAUUGGCUGGCAACGAGUGACAAGGUGCCAGACAAGACACACGGUCAGGCUGUCAUCAUUUGAUUCACACAUAAUCAGUCCCUAAUUGUAUCACAUUGGGCUGCAGGUACAUGUAAUUUCGAAGGGAACGCGAAUUCACUGGGGUUUUUCCUGGGCAAAACUGGCAGCGUGUCCCUGUGGUAAUGAUGGAGAGGCGAGUGCUUUAAUGUGCUUGCUUGGCCCCUGGUUGUCCUGAGCUGCAAGGCGCUCACAGUCAUGGAGGCUGCAGAGCCAGACUUUAGUGCUUUGACAGUUUGAUGGACAGCUGACAUGACUGGCUCUGGAGUUGCCAGUCAAUCCAACACUGAGAGUCGCCCCAGUGCAGCCUGUCUACCAAUA